CCUACGGGGGGCUGCAGUGGGGAAUAUUGGACAAUGGGGGGAACCCUGAUCCAGCCAUGCCGCGUGUGUGAAGAAGGCCCUCGGGUUGUAAAGCACUUUCAGUGAGGAAGAACGCCUGGUGGUUAAUACCCAUCAGGAAAGACAUCACUCACAGAAGAAGCACCGGCUAACUCCGUGCCAGCAGCCGCGGUAAUACGGAGGGUGCGAGCGUUAAUCGGAAUUACUGGGCGUAAAGCGCGCGUAGGUGGCUUGAUAAGCCGGUUGUGAAAGCCCCGGGCUCAACCUGGGAACGGCAUCCGGAACUGUCAAGCUAGAGUGUAGGAGAGGAAGGUAGAAUUCCCGGUGUAGCGGUGAAAUGCGUAGAGAUCGGGAGGAAUACCAGUGGCGAAGGCGGCCUUCUGGACUGACACUGACACUGAGGUGCGAAAGCGUGGGUAGCAAACAGGAUUAGAUACCCCGGUAGUC
rnacentral:rRNA from 1 species